GUUGCUGGUGCAGAAGUUUGCGAGAUGCCCAAGGCUAAGGGAAAGACUCGGAGGCAGAAGUUCGGUUACAACGUCAACUGAAAGCGUCUGAACCGGAAUGCUCGUGGGAAGGCAGCGCCACGGAUCGAGUGCUCCCACAUCCGACAUGCCUGGGACCACACCAAAUCCGUGCGGCAGAACCUGGUGGAGAUGGGGUUGGCCAUGGACCCCAACAAGGCGGUUCCACUCCGUAAGAGGAAGGUGAAGGCCAUGGAGGUGGACAUGGAGGAGAGACCCAAGGAUCUUGUAUGGAAGCCCUAUGUAGUAAAUGACCUGGAGGCAGAAGCCAGCCUCCCAGAGAAGAAAGAAAAUACCUUGUCUCGGGACCUCAUCGACUAUGUUCAGUACAUGGUGGAGAAUCACGGGGAGGACUAUAAGGCCAUGGCCCGGGAUGAGAAGAAUUACUAUCAAGACACCCCAAAACAGAUUCGGAAUAAGAUCAAUGUCUAUAAACGCUUUUACCCAACGGAAUGGCAAGCCUUCAUCGAUUCUCUCCAGAGUAAGAAGAUGGAGGUGGACUGA